rnacentral:rRNA from 1 species
UCCCUAUGCCUGAGGAAAAGGAACCAGACACCGACUGCCUUUGCCUCAGUGACGGCGAGUGAGCGGCAAAAGCUCAAAUUUGAAAUCUGGCGCUUUCGGUGUCCGAGUUGUAAUUUGAAGAAGGUAACUUUGGGGUUGGCUCUGGUCUAUGUUCCUUGGAACAGGACUUCACGGAGGGUGAAAAUCCCGUGCGAUGAGAUGCCCAAUUCUAUGUAAAGUGCUUUCGAAGAGUCGAGUUGUUUGGGAAUGCAGCUCUAAGUGGGUGGUAAAUUCCAUCUAAAGCUAAAUAUUGGCGAGAGACCGAUAGCGAACAAGUACAGUGAUGGAAAGAUGAAAAGAACUUUGAAAAGAGAGUGAAAAAGUACGUGAAAUUGUUGAAAGGGAAGGGCUUGAAAUCAGACUUGGUAUUUUGCGAUCCUUUCCCCUUCGGGGGGGUUCCUCCCCUUUUAACGGGCCCGACUCCGUUUGGAAGGGAGAAAAAAAACGAGGGUGAGCGGGUCUCUUCCCGGGGAGUGUUAUACCCUCGGUUGAUACUGCCUGUGGAUCCAGAACACUGCCUCUUUUGACUUGGAUGUUGGGUUAUA